UACGUAGGGGGCAAGCGUUAUCCGGAUUUACUGGGUGUAAAGGGAGCGUAGACGGUACGCCAAGUCUGAAGAGAAAGCCCGCAGCUCAACUGCGGGACUGCUUUUGAAACUGCCAAGCUAGAGUGUCGGAGAGGUAAGUGGAAUUCCUAGUGUAGCGGUGAAAUGCGUAGAUAUUAGGAGGAACACCAGUGGCGAAGGCGGCUUGCUGGACGACGACUGACGUUGAGGCUCGAAAGCGUGGGGAGCAAACAGG
rnacentral:rRNA from 1 species